rfam:Ktedonobacter racemifer DSM 44963 strain SOSP1-21 Krac_Contig204, whole genome shotgun sequence.
AGGAGCCGAGUGAAGAGAAAUCUUCAUGCUCGGUUUUGCAGACGAGCGGAUGGGGCGACCCAUGCGCUUAGUUUAU